rnacentral:lncRNA from 1 species
UGAUGCAGUAACUGAUCCAGAAGGCUCUAAGAAACUCUAUCAAGAGGCUUCUUCAACUGACAAAAGUAUCAAGCUAUGUGAAGGAUUGUUGCAUGACUUGUUAUUCGAACCUGAAAAAGAAGAAGUUGUGAAGGAUAUAAUUGAAUGGCUCAACCAAAGAUUGUGAAGAUAUUGAAAACUCAAAGGAAUAGCUUGAUCAAAGGAGGUAGAGCGACAACAUGAGUCCAAGGAGAUUGCCAAUGCCAAGUUUGGGAUUUCCCUCAAUGAGACUGUAUAUUAAGUGAGGGAAUUAAGAGAAUUGAACUUGCUAAAUAAGUUUGAACACAUUGAACGUGGAGAAGCUUACACUGUUAAUUAAUGUAAUGACAUCUGAUCAGUGGUGACAUUGCUCAAGAUGUUGCUUGUGGUAGUUUAAAGUUUUGACAACCACAGAAAUUGCACAAACAAAUGGGACUUUGUAAGAAUGGUUAUAACAUCAUCCAUUAAAAGGUGUUUUCGGUAAUACCUUAGUUUUUGUUGAUUAACCAAAGUAACUAGCUAGGAAACUUUUUAACAUUGUAUAUAUCUUUUCUGCUAAAUGAUAAAGUAAAAAAUUUCAUGGAAAGAUUAUCUCUCGGUAAUAUAUUGAUUUCUUACAAUGUCUUCACUGAGAUAGGCUUUCUGUGCAGUAUGCAUUCAUUGAUUGAUGAGAUAAAAAGAUGCAUGUAUCUCCAAUCAUCUACAGUAUUUGAUAGUGUGUAUUGACCUUUUGCAGAUGCCAGAAAUGCCAGUCAGACAUUUGGUUUGAAGGUUAGGCUCAUCUACACUGCUAAAUGAUGUUUUGAUGCAUACAUUAUAGUAUGAUUUUUUGAACAAGUAUGAAUAUAGUACAUAGCUUAUUAUCAUGUGUUUUGACAGACUGCACUUUUUAAACGUAUAGUUAUCAAUAUUUUUCAACUUUUUCGGAGAAGAUUGAUUACCAUCAGAGCAACCCCUCUUGUCUUAAUAUAUAGUUAUGUUAUAAUAUAUAUUCUAUAUAAUAAUACUUCGCUAUAAUAUUCAAAUAUAUUCGAAACAAGCAAUAUUAUUAUAGAGAGGUUUGCUGUAUUUAGAAGUUUCUAGGAGCAGAUAAUGGAGGAAUCGACAUGAGACCCAUAAUUUUGUACCAACCAUAAUUUAUAUGUCAUCAUAAUGCAUGUAACUAAGUGUCACAGGGGCAUUUUCUGUCCUGCGAAAACCUGCCCGCUGUGCGGCAAUCAAGUCCCUACUUGGCUCAGCCUUCACCCAAUUUAUUUCGCUUUCGAUGUUGAACACUUAGAAUAUUUUCAAGGCAAUAUAAAAUAUAUAAAGGCACAAGGAGAAUUACGGAAACCUUUUCCCAACCUUUUAUAAUAAAUGAAUUACAAAGAAAAAAUCUCGAGUUUGGAAAGGUGCUGCCACCCUUGGCAGACAUCAACUCACAAAAUUGCCAACUCUUGCACAUUUUGCCUUAUAAAAGCCCCUGCCUAAGACAUUUCGUGCCUUCCACUGAUUUUGGUAAGACAAUGGCACAUAACUUGCCAUGCUCUUUGGCAAGGUAAUGGCACAUAAUUUGCCAUGCUCAAGCCUUGACAUAAACAACCCUAUGUCUAUAUCUUGCCUAUUUUCCCUCCUUCGGUACUUAGACGUUUUGGGGGUUGCAAACACACAUAUUUAUAGUGUAGUUAGCCUAUUUCAAUUUUCCUAUUUCAGUUGACACCCCAAACGAUAAGCCAUGAUCACCCAUGAUAAAAAACAUGUAUGUCAUGAUCUAGCAUGCCCUAAAAAUGUGCAUACACAGCUCCAUUAUCAGCCACUCUUUGGACAAGGUAGUUGUAACCGUCCAACUGCACGGCAUGUGCCAGCACACUUGAUAACCGCUCUAUGUGCACAGCAUGUGUGUGUUUCUGGCCAACUGCUGCACGCCCAAGGCUGGCAUUACGCACAACCUUGCCCUAUAACAAUGCUCCGCCCCAAUGCCAUAGCCGCAACUUGUCGCUCAUGACUAAGCCGCACGCACGCCCGUUGCCUCAGCCGCUUGUUAUGUCAAUUCGUCCCUACUUGAUCAAGUCUGUCCUUUGCUAGUGCCAAGCUAAUAUUAGUAUCAAGUCACCAAGCCAUGAUGCCAUUUUCCUUGUUAAGUCAUUCGCCCACAAAUUUCUUAGGUGCCAGCCCGCUCACCUAAGCCAAGGCAAUACCAAGUUGCCAAUGCCACUGCCUUGGCAUUAAGCCGCCUUGUCUUAGCGCCUGUCUUUCCCGCAUUGCUUUGUCAAGCUUCCGUCCAGCCCGCCUCUUUCCUUCAAGACCUUGGCCUUUGCUUGCACACAACCCACUCGUGCUUUAGUAUAGUCCAUCACACCUUAGCCUUGCGAUAGUAGUGUAGUCUGUCACACUUAGUCUUGCAACAAUUUGUUGCCAUUUGACAACGCCCGCAUUGUCUUGCAUGUUGUUUUCCUCAGAGGCCAAUGGAAAGGCCUUCAUGUCAAAUCCUUUCCACUAUCGCGCCAUUUGCCGAUCAGCUUUUUCAAUGGUCUUACAAACCACCCCAAUUAGUUGAAUUCGACAAACCACCCCAACUAGUUGAAUUCGACGCCCUCGUCGAAUAAUUCCCAACACAUGCUCAUCAUUUGCAAAGACAUCACAAGUUCAGCACCCUUUUGAGAAUUACGUUGUCCUUGCCCUCAAAUGCAAUGUUUUUCUCGUUUGCCUUUCCUGCCCGUCAUUCCCAUGGAAAAUCUAGCACGCAAUUGAUUUUAUUUGAAUGAAAUGACCACUCAUUUUGGCACCCCUCAACUCAAAACUCUGCAUCACUGCCUUCUUUGCCUUUUUUGAAUUUUCUAAGCCCGGACAAUCCCUUCCACGAACAAACACACUGACCCCUUGUGUUGCCGUAUUUUCCAUGGCCGUCCCACCCUCGUCAUAACCCUACUCUGCUCUGAUACCAAUUGUCAUAGGGGCGUUUUCUAUCCACCGAAAACCUGCCUGAUGUGCGGCAGUCAAGUCCCUACUUGGCUCAGCCUUCACCCGAUUUCUUUCUCUUUCGAGGUUUAACACUUAGAAUAUUGUCAAGGCAACAUAAAAUAUAUAAAGGAACAAGCAGAAUUACGGGAACCCUCUCCCAGCCUUAUAUAAUAAAUGAAUUACAAAGAAAAAUCUCGAGUUUGGCAAGGUGAUGCCACCCUUGGCAGACACCAACUCACAAAAUUGCUGACUCUUGCACAAUCUGCCUUAUAAAAGCCCAUGCUUAAGACAUUUCAUGUUUCCCACUGAUUUUGGCAAGACAGUGGCACAUAAUUUGUCAUGAUCAAGCCUUGACAUAGACAACCCUAUGCCUAUAUCUUGCCUAUUUUCCCUCACUCAGUGCUUAGACGUUUUUGGGGCUGCUAACGCACAAAUUUAUAGUGUAGUCAGCCCAUUCCGAUUUUCCUAUUUCAGUUGACACCCCCAACUUAUAUGCCAUUAUCACCAAUGAUAAAAAAAACGUGCAUGUCAUGAUCUAACAUGCCUUAAAAACGUGCAUACACUUAGCCCUAUUAUCAGCCACUCUUUGGACAAGGCAGGUGUCGCCGCCCAACUGAACGGCACGUGCCUAGCACACUUGAUAACUGAUCCAUGGGCAUUGUAUGUGCAUGUUUAUUGCCAGCUGAUGCAUGCCCAAGGCUUACGCCUAGCCAUGCCCUUUGACACUGCUCCGCCCCAAUGUCAUAGCCACAGCUUGUCACCCAUGACUUAGUUGCACGCUCGUCCACUGCCACAGACGCUUGUUCAUGUGAAGUCUUCCCUAGUUGACCAAGUCUGCCCUUUGCCAAUGCCAAGCUGAUAUUAGCAUCAAGUCACCAAGCCAUGAUUCUAUUUCCAUUGCUAACCUAAUCCAAGGCAACACCAAGUUUCCACUGCCACUGCCUUGGCACUAAGCCGCAUUGUCUUAGCGCCUAGAUCUUUCUCGCAUUGUUUUGUCAAGCUUCCAUGCAGCACGCCUACUUCCUUCAAGACCUUGGCCUUCUUGCACACAGAUUAGCCUUGCAAAAGUAGUGUAGUUCGUCACACUUAGCCUUGCAACAGUUUGUUGCCAUUAAGAAUGUCUGCAUUGUCUUGCAUGUUGUUUUCCCCCGCACAUAGGCCAAUAGCAAGGAUGUCAUGCCAAAUCCUUGCCAUUGCCGCGCCAUUUUCCGAUCAGCUUUCUCAAGGGUCUUACACUUAGUGAUAUCGGCAAAAGUGUCCCACAUAAUAAGUGUAAAUUCAAUUCAAUGUCUUUCAUUUGAAACUAUUUCCCAAUUUCGUUAUGUGUUUAAUUUUAUUUAAAAAAUAAAAAAUAAAAGAAACAUAGGUGAGGAUCUUGGAGAUGUACGUAUUUUAGUGGGCAUUCGGACAUAAGAAUUAUAAAAUUGCAAAAAAAAAAGGUAAAAAAAUAUUUAAAGUGAAAAUGGUAUUUGAAAAUUAGAGUUGUAUUACAUGAAUAUAAUCUUACGCUAUUUUUGAAAUUUUCUGAGUGAUCUGAGUGAAAAUUUUGAAAAACAGUUUUUUGGAGUUCUUCAAAUUUUGGAAUAAUUUCAAAAUGCAUCUUCAAGUGAAAAUUAAAAAUUUUAUGACCAAAUACUGAUUUCGAAAAAAGUGAAAUUUUUUUCGAAUAAAAGUGAAAAAAUUCUUGUAUCCAAACAGGCUCUAAUUUCGGUACAAUUUGGAAAACGACUUUUAAUGUUUAGUUAUAGUUGCCACUAGCAAGCAACCAAGUAAACAAAAAACUUCAGUCAUGGGGAAUGGGGGGCUUGCUAGUGCCGAGUCGUAUGCACGCAAGCAUAUCUGUGCAACUUGCACUGCAAAUCUCAUACGCACACUCAGCUACAAGUUGUGUUGAUAAUUGCAUUUCUUUAUUUUUAUCUCUUUUCUUAUUCUACUUUUGAAGUGACAAAGGCACUAAUCAUUCAUUUUUUAGGACACUUACAAGAAAUAGACAAGAGAGAUGAUAUGCCUGCACUGCUAGAGAAUAGCGUAUAGAUUUCCCCACUUGAGAUGUCAACCAAUUAAAUUAAUUACUCCAUUAUCCAAAGAGCUGUGCUGCUUUAUAUCACGCCUCUUAAUUACCCAACUUUUAUCUCUAAUGUGUUUCCGUUGCUUGUUAUCCUCACUUAAUAUUUACGUCAAAUAAAACUAAAUUAACUUAUUAUGGUUAAGUGAUUAAAUAAUGUACAAAUGUAGGCUAGUCAACCAUUUUUAAGUUAUAGAAAUUUAUUCAUAAAUACAUACUAUCAUUUAUCUAUUAAUUAAAUCAGAAAAACUCCAUGUGUGAGUACGUUUUUACCUUGUCGACGACGUGCAUUUACUCGUAUAUCAAGCCUUCACUUCCCCUCUUCUUCUUCCUUUUCUUUUGUUCUUUUUAAUGAAGGGAAUUGUGAUAAACUAGAAUAUCUUCUUUCCCCUAUAAUUCACGAGUUCACAAUCCACGCCAAAAGUUCAAAUCAAACGCCCAUCCUGCUCAAGACUAUUGUUUAUACUGUCGUUUAUUUUUAAAAUGUUUUGUUUGGGGGCCAUCACUAAAUAAGAUGUAUAUGAUAUCCUAGCAAAUGUUAGUAGUAAAAUACCAGUACCUUUGUUGUCUAACAAAUCGUAAUUCUUUUAUUUGAAUACCCACUAGCCAAGAGGUGCAUAAAUUAUGCCACCCCAGGACGAUGUGGAUUCUUUGAGUCGAUUAAACCCAUAGUCUUUAAAUAAAAUAAAAAAACAUAAAAAGAAAGUUGAAGACAAUGUGGUAGAUAUAAAAAAAAUACUUUCAUAAUCAAGUCAUAUUAUAGGCCUGCAUUGAACUUCUACUUAAUUAAUGAUUAUUACAAAAAUAAAAUCUAUCAAAUGUCUUCUGCUGACUAAUCCAAAAGGCAUAUCGCUAACAGCAUAAUUGGUGGAACUUUGUAUGCCAAUUAUCAAAUUAAUCUAUGUUGUCAGGUUAGUACUGUUUUUAUGUGGACAAAGAUUAAGGAAACCACCUAUGUUGUCCUUUUAAUUUCAUGAUCAUGAUCAAACUAUGCCCUGUAUUCAUGGUAGUCGUAGAUAACAGUGAGUUUUUCUUCUUUAAUUAUUACUACAAGAAAGGAAAUAGGAUUAAAAAAUUAAUUCGUCCUCCAAGAUCAUAGUUACUAAUCAUGAUUGGCUAAGAAUAAAUGCAAUUACUGCUACUACUAUUAUUACUAUUAUUAUUAUUAUUAUUAUUAUUAUUAUUAUUAUUAUUAUUAUUAUUAUNNNNNNNNNNNNNNNNNNNNUAAUUGUAUAUCUUAUACUACUAUUAUUAAUAUUGUCAUAUUAUUAUUAUUAUUAAAAGUAUUAUUAUUAUUAUUAUUAUUAUUAGUAUUAUUAUUAUAUUGGUUAAGCAAUAACCGGUGGCCUUCUUAGCUUAGAAAAGAACGGGUUACUGUUAUUUCAUCAUUGUUGAGGGUGAUAAUGGAUAUUUAGUGUAGCCAAAGCCAAUCAGAAUAAAACGACCUGAUUAAUAUUUGUUUGUGUUAUAUUAUUAAUAAAAUAAGUGAAAGGGCCCCAAUUGAUUGACUGAAUUAUGUAGUUCAAUCUCUUAGUACGUCCAUGGAACUGACCAAUUGGACACUCAGUUUUCUCCGUCCAUCCAAUCACAUGCAUGGACUAAAUGACCCUACAUGAAGAAAAUGACAUUUUGGUCUCAAGAAACAAUUCAGUAGUCAAAAGAUGGUAAUUCGAAUGAUAAUGUUCCGAGUUGAAAUAUUUGUCUCAUAACAGUCAUUGUUGUCUUGUCUAAUUGUCUCCUCUACUCCCCCAUUAACCCAAAAGAGAAAAAAGGAAAAAAAAACAUUAGUGUUAAAUGUUCUAUUGUGCACUAAUUUCAAAUAUCAUGCAUACCAAAUGAUUAACGGCUAGAUAGUCGGCCUCCCUUUACAGCCUAUAUACUUGUGUCUCUACUGAGAUCAGUUUGAUUUCAUGGAAAACUUUUAACCAUGAGAUAAUUCAAUACAUAGAUGACAAUACUUCCUUAUGCAGAUCAACAACUUUGUGAUGGAUAAACAUUACGAAGAUUGGAAGAAAUCACCAAGUGUCUUUUGUUUCUAUUGAGAUUUGAGCCAUUCACUUUGUUGACCACCAGAACACAUCUUAGAGUAGGGGUGUGCAUUCGAAUCGGUUUAUCGAUAAAUCGAAUCGAUUAUUUGUUAUCGAAAUCGAAAAAAUCGAAACCUUAUUGAAAUGAUAACGAUAAGCAUAUGUACAAGUCGAUAAUCGAUAAGUAAUUAUCGAUAAGGAUCAAAAUCGAAUGCCACCCCUAGACUGUAGACACGUGUAAAAUGAGUAAUUACCUAUUUGUGUAGAUUAAUAUAACAUACAGAAUGUAUAUAUAUUUCGCUACUAUUUUGAAAGCGACUAUACAAUAUCAUUUCCCCUAAUCUAGACCAUUUCCUUUAUCCUACGUCCCUUAACAUAUUAUAUCCUCUACCACAUUUAAGAAAUGAUCAUAUUUAAUGAUCAAGCGAAUGAAGUUCAAAUUAAUGGAAAACAAAAUUAGCCGUGAUGAUGUAUUUUGUUUUGUUUUGUUUAUUUCUACCGUUGGAGUGUUGGUGGCAUACAUUUGAUCCCUUACUUUAAUUUUGUUGCAUGUGCAUGUUGAUACAAUUUUUAUGUUAUAAAUGGUGUUCAUCUUAUUUUAGCUUCUUUUUGUCCAUAUUAGCUAGACGCGUUUAUAGCGAUAUACCUUUUCAUGGAAUCCUGCAAAUUUUCUUAUUGGUGUAAUCGAUGACAGAAUCGAUAAGCCCCCAAAAUCGAUAAAUCGAAAUCGAAAAAAUCGAAAUCUUAAUGAAACGAUAACGAUAAGCAUAUGUACAAAUCGAUAAUCGAUAAGUAAUUACCGAUAAGGGUCAAAAUCAAAUCGACAAAUCGAUUGCACACCUCUACCUUAGAGUGCAUGUCCGUUUCCUAUUUCAAUAACCCAAGCAAGAAAAGAGCUUCUUACUAAAAAAAAAUCGAUUCUUGAUUAAAGUAUAUGUUUCACCAAGAUCAGACAACAGAAACGCAAGGAAGAGAAGUGUUUCAUUGCGAAAAACUUAGUUUACAUUAAAUGCAAAAGCAAUUUUCAAACAUAAAAAACCACAACAAAUUUUCUAAUUUCUCCAAAUUAAUGUAUCUUUCCCAGAAAAAAGGUCCAAAUUCACUCAUAUAAGCUAUCAUCAUCUUACUGAAGACAAAUUCUUUAGUUAUAAGAUAACAAAAAAUGUUUUUCAACUCAACUAAGAAACCAAGUCCUUAUAACCAAAGGUGGCAACCUUGCAAACCAUCCUUGAAUGUUACAAAGUCGUUAUGUGAACAAAAGAAUGAGAGUAUCUCAUUGGUUUUCCAUAAGAAAUAUUAGUUUAAAGUUAAACGGAAGAUCCUAAUCCAACUUUCAUCAUCGCUCACAUCACCUCCCUUAUGAUCUUGAACUUCCAAUUAUGGAUUAAUUAAAUACUUUUUAAUUGUCUAUUUCAUUUUAACUGUUGUUUUACAAUUCCUUUCUCCUUAUUGGAAUCUGUAGACCCACUCAUAGCAUCAUUUACCCUCUCAACAUUCCAAAGAAGACCUAACAUCUCUACAUCUCCCUCCUUUGCAAAUCAAAUCCUCAGCCUCCUUUCCCUUUAUAUAGAUAUAUACUUUAACUUAUUAGCUUCCAUUACCACUGCUCUCCCCCCCCCCCCCCCCCCCCCCCCCCCCCCCCCCCCCCCCCCCCCCCCCCCCCCCCNNUUCCCUCCCUACACGAUGAAGUAAAUUUCAGUUUUCUUUAGUCUAUUGUUAUGUCAGCUGUUCAAGGUCAUGCAGCUAAGUUUGCAGCAAACACCAUCCUAUAGAGCAGAUCGGACGAUGAGAACAUGCUAGCUGAUUCUGACACAACAUCAGAACUCUCAGCCAACAUACAAAAUUUUUCGUACGUCUAUUUACCAAUUAACAUUUAAAUUUGUCUUCAAAUUCCAGUAUCUCAUAUUUAUUGUUUUUUCCUUCUCAAUAAGAUUAUUUAUUAGCUCUUGGAAUGUUGGAGGCAUUGCACCACCUAACGACUUAAAUAUGGAGGGCUUGCUUGAUACUCGAAACAACUUGGCUGAUAUUUAUGUUCUCGGGUAACCUUUACUUUCACUAUACUGCAUUCUACUAAUAGGUAUAAAUGAACCAAACCACCUGAUGACUGCAUUUUGCAUGUGCGGCUGCCCUUGAGAGUAAGCAGCAGCAUGCAAAUGCAUUGCCAUCUGAUAUAUAUCAGGUUGGCUUGGUCAAGGUGGUACUUUGAUAUUUGUAGUAGCUAAGGGUCAAAAUUCUACCUCGAGCUGCACUCUACUAAUAGGUAAACGAACCAAACCACCUAAUGACUGCAUUUUGCAUGUGCGGCUGCCCUUGAGAGUAAGCAGCAGCAUGCAAAUGCAUUGCCAUCUGAUAUCAGGUUGGCUUGGUCAAGGUAGUACUUUGAUAUUUGUAGAAGCUAAUGGUCAAAAUUCUAGUUCGAGAAUGUACAUGCCAUGAGCAAACAACUUUUAUCAGGUUUCAAGAAAUUGUACCUCUGAAUGCUGGAAGUGUUAUAGUGCCAGAGAACACAAUUUUAUGCAUGCAAUGGAAUUCUCUUAUUGGAACAGCUCUGAACAAGAUGGCUGUCAAUAACAUCUCCCUUCAGAAGGUAGAGGAAGAAGAAAAUCAAAAGGUUUACCCACUAAACAAAGAGAGUUCCUCACAUUUUGAAUGCAUAAUUAGCAAGCAAAUGGUGGGAGUUUUUAUUACCAUAUGGGCGAGGUCUCCACUCCUUCCAUAUAUCAGGCAUACAAGUGUCUCCGCUGUAGGCUGUGGUAUAUUUGGCUACCUCGGAAACAAGGUAAAGAAAUUAUGUAAAUUUCUAUUUCUUGAUCAUAAUAGCACGUUCCCUGCAAAAUAUAAUAAUUACUGAUUAAUUAUAGGAAGCAAGAUAUAAAAUUUGAGUUAUUUGCUAACGUUGCGCCCCCGCCACCAGGGUGUAAAUCCAUAAUCAGAGAAUAUAUGGAGUAUAAAUGUAACAAACGGGAUAGAAACACAAUCAUAUGCAUCUAGUUUUCAAUUUACUAACUUUCGGUAAUUGAUAUACAGGGUUCAGUGUCGGUUAGAUUUUGCUUGCAUGAAACAAGCUUCUGCUUUGUGUGUAGUCACUUAGCUUCCGGAGGAAAAGAAGGAGAUGAGAGACAGAGAAAUGCAGAUGCCUCCCAAAUACUAUCACGCACAAGAUUUCCUUGCGACUCAUUUCAGCAUUUGCCAAGAAAAAUUCUACAGCACGAGUACGUUUACCUUUUCAUAAUAUUAUAUUAACUUCACAUUUCCUUUGGAUUCUCAAGGCCUUAGCAUUUUCCUUUAGAGUUACAGUACCUUGAAUCUUGAUAUAGCAUCAACAGCUAGUGUGCUGAUAACACAGUUAAACGUUUGAUUAUGCUUCGUAGAGGCAAGAAGCAGACGCUAUUAUCCUUCCCAAGACCCAUAGACAGUUGAUUGAAGAAAAUCAAAGAUAAGGGGGAGAGAGAUUGUGUUAAAUGCAUAUGAACCCUCAUGUCAGCAUUUGCCCAAAAAGUUUUUACACUUGUCUUUCAUAGCACAAUAAAGAAGACUUCACUUUGUAUAAACUGAUAAUUACUCCUGUAUAUCAACUUGUGAAUAUCUUGGAAAGUCUUCUAACAACCAUAAGCUGGUUAACAUCAUACUGUAGAUGAUUUUGGCUAGCUGACGUGUCAUAGGUACAACAAAGAAGACUUCACUUUGGACAUAUUGAUUAUUAUAUACCAACUUGUGAAUAUAUUGAAAUUAUCUUCUAACAACCAUAAGCUGGUUAAUCUCAUACAGUAGGGUGAUUUGGCUAGGAGACAUGAAUUAUAGGAUUUACUUACCUGAAGCAAUAACAAGAUCUUUAGUCAACGACAGGCAGUGGAGCAUCUUAUUACAAAAGGAUCAGGUACUAUAAGCAAGAAAAAAUAACAAUUUUAAAGUUCCAGAAAGCAUUCAAAUAUACAGUAAGUUUGUGCUCCUAGUAUCACCAUUAUUUGGAAGUUCACAUUGAAAACUUGGAAAUAUGAAGCUGAAGGCCGAGCUAAGAGAAGGCUGUAUUUUCAAAGGUUGGCAAGAGGAAGAAAUUGAGUUUGCACCAACAUACAAAUAUUAUCCAGAUUCUGACGAUUAUUAUGGCUGCAGUCAGAACGAGAAAAGGGGAAAGAGUCGAGCCCCAGCUUGGUAAGUUGCCUAAGAACAUAAGAAUUAUUUGACCUAAAAGCAAAUGGAACAAGCAUAUUUAAUAAAGAAAAAUAUUCUAUAGGUGUGACAGGAUUAUAUGGUUUGGCAAGGGACUGAAGCAAAGCCAGUAUAAUAGAGGUGAGUUUAGAUUGUCAGACCACAGACCAGUACGGGCAACUUUCACGGCAGAGGUCAAGGUUCUAUCACCAUUAUAUUAGAGAACUUAGAAGGCCUUGCCAAACAGUUUUGAAAACUUUUUGAAGCAGUUCUAAAUUUCUAAUAAUGGCAAUAGUGACAGAUUAUUGUGUAUGGUAUAUAUCCCAUAACACCAGCAGCAUUCAAACAAAAACACCAGAAGACACAGUAAUCGGGAAAAGGAACAGUGAGAAAAGAAAUUACGCUGUAAGCAGUAGCGGAGCGAGGAUUUUCGCUAUGAAGUGUGAAAAUUUAAAGAAGUAAAUACACAAAUAGGUCAAGGGGAUUCAAUACAUAGUAUAUAUACAUACAAAAAUUUACUUAUCUAAACAGUGUAUUUUUUCGUGAAGCCGUUGACACUCACUGGAGCUAUGUAGCUCUGCCACUGGCUGAAAGUGAAAGGUAGUCAUAUAGAACGACAGCCAACAUUUAGAUUAGUGAAAGUACAGGUCAUUGUAUAAAGCAAAAUGUUAGCACAAAAGUAAAUGCAAAGAAAAUAACACCCGAGUAGCAUCUGUUGAACUGAACAAACUUACAUUUAGUUCUUGUGCUCAAAUAACUCUUUUGCCCUUUAGUUUAGAUUAUUAUUGUCACUUGUCAGUACUAGCAGAUAAUAUCAGCUCAAGGCAAAGUACGAACUCAUUUUACAGUAAAGUUUACUGUUUAUUAACAACAACGACCCAUAAAGUCCCGUUAGGUGGGGUCAGGGGAGGGUAGUGUGUACGCAGACCUUACCCCUACCCCAAUGGGGUAAAGAGGCUGUUUCCGAUAGACCCUCGGAUAUUCUUUUGACCAUCAAUUGCUUACUAAUACAAAUAUAGCCAACUAUCAGUCAAUCAGUAUACAACAUCUCAGAAAGAAACAAACAAAAUUGAACUGUUGAAGAUACGGAAAAAACUAUUUGAGAUCACAAUGAACACCUAGAAAAGAACCAACGAAAAACAGCAUAGCUAUCGAAGAUGAGGAAGUAACUCGUUCACCAUUAGGUGCUUUUGAUGUUGAACAUUGACGAGUAGUGCUUUUAAAGAACUUGGAUAAUCAAAGUCAUGAACACAGUUGGAUUAGGUAACUUUUUUUCUUUUUGAUAACUGUAUUGUCGGGGCCAGUUUGAGCGCACCUCGACUAAUUCCACGGAAUAUCUGCCACCUCCCACGACUAAUUCUACGGGAUACUUGCCACCUCCCACCAACAACACAAGUACCUGAUAACUCUAUCCACCAAGGCUUGAAUAGAUGAAAAGUUUCACCCACUUUAUUAACCACUAGGCACAACCUUAAUAACUUAUCUUCACAUAGUAUCUUGGAUAUACCAAAAUUUCACUUUCUUGCAUCUCUAUAACCCUCGUAAGACCACCUACAACUUACAGAGACCUUAUUACUCUAUGUAUACUUAAGGACCUUACAUCACCAAGCGACCUUAAAGUAUAGCAAAUAUAAAACUACAAAGUAUUUAAAGAAAAAGCCUCAAGAGUUUGAGCAUGCAUGGACCAUACAUUUGGUGUCCUUUAAACUUGUAAUUAAACAAAACGUAACAAAGUCUUCACUUCUUUUACUCUUGGCAAGAAUAAACCCUGUCAACAUGUAAUAAGAAUAGAAGUGAAAGUGUGAACCAAGGCAUCCUACAUCAAAAACAAGUUCAAUAGUAUAGUAUGCCAGAGUGGAAUCACGAGCGUACUUGGUGUAUAACCUUCAUAGCAUCUUUCCAUUAUACUUUGCUAGACAUCGAACACUUUAAAAGUAGGUGAGAAACUAGCUAAUGCUGUCAUCAGAACACUUACAAAACUCAUGAUUCACAAUGAUAUAUAUCCCAUAUUGUCCGUCUUCAGGGCCCUUUUAAACUGAGGCUCCUCCAAAAUGCAACUAAUCAUCCCGAAUCCCACAUCAACGGCUGAGUUCCUACUUAUUCCUACAUUAGCCUCUUUCUACAUAAAGCAACAAUAUGCACUAAAUCAGGCCGAUAAGGUCCAUGAUAUAUGUAAUCCGUUCAACAUUCAUUAACACCCUGAUUAACUAGAGUUACCAAAUUAGUAUUUUGCUCCUCGUAUUUCUCCAUCAUAAGGAGAUAAAAGCGAAUUGCAUUGAUUUCUUUCACCAAACAUUUAUCAUGAUUCAACAACUGUUAAUAUCCUCGACAAUUUUCUUAAUUAGCCCUAACAUUGUCUUUACCAAUAAUAGUGCACUAUUAUAUCCAAGCAACUUCCCACAUAAACAUUUGAAAAACAAUCAGAUGUCAUUCCGUAAUUGUAGAUAGAUAGAUAGAGAGAGAGAGAGAGAUUUCGUACCGUGCGAGAAGAAAUGAGCUAGCCUUUUCCCUCUCCAGUUUCGCCUUUCUAACCAUGAUUCCAGUAGUAGUACAUCAACAUUUGAGAGUGUACUACUGUUAUGCUAAACUAGAGCGACACAGAAAGAAAUUCUAAAUUCAAAACAAUAUCUAAACAAGGCGACACCAAAAGAAAUCCUAAAUUCAAAAACUAACUUGAAAUUAAUAAAUUACGUGCUCGUUUAGAUGUAAAAUUUGAUGGAAGAUUUUUUCAAAAAUAAUUCACUUUUUUCUAAAUCAGCUAUAUUCCUAUAAUUUCCAAUUUUCACUUAAAGAUGCAUUAUGAAAAUUUUCAAAAAUAUAAAAAACCGCAAAAACUAUUUUUCAAAAUUUUCACACACAAAAUUUCAAAAAUAACCCAAACUAAAAUUUAUGUCCAAAUACAGCUCUAAAUUUCAAAGGCUAUUUUCACUUGAAAAAAUUUUCACCAAUGCAAAGAAAAAAAAAACUUAAGGAAAAUGAAGCAUAUAUGUUGUAAUGCCGCCCGAAGAUACCGUAAUGCAAGCCAAUGAUGAACCUCGUGUUGCUAUUAUUUUAAAUUUUAUAAUGCAAAGUUAAAGAUUUUGUGUUGAUGAAAUUAAAAUUUUAUUUUAUCAAAUAAACUGUCAUUAUAUAUUGACCAUUAAUCUCCUAGUCACUAUUUACACACAGAACACUGUACCUACACUACUUCAAGCAACUAUAGCUACACUAACAACAAUUGUUUAAACUCUCCAAUUCUUUUUGCCAUUUGGUCUUCUUUCUCCUUGUACAUGUAUAUGCAUAGCAAUUUUCUUGCAUAAUUCAUCCAUGUUGUAUCUGCCCUUGUUGAAUCUAAUCGAGUUCCUUUCGCGCCAAAUGCAGUAGACUACCAUCACGAAAAUUGAUGUAGUCAUUUCUGCUUUACAGUUCUUCCUACUUGCCAAUCUGCUCAUCCAAUUCAGCUCAUUUUGCCAGCUUCCUAUUUGCCUUCCAAUGCCAAGCCAUUUCAAUACUCUAAGGAGUUUGUUAGUUUUUGGACAUCCAAAGUAUAAAUGCUCAAAAGUUUCCAUAUUGUUUGCACAGAACACAUUCUAAUGGAGCUUGAAUUCCAAAUUUUAUGAGUCUGUCUACAGUUGCUAGCCUUUGAUAAAUACCCAGCCAUAGAUGAAAUUUGAAUCUAGGAUGAAUAUAUGUAUGUAAAUGAAGGCUUUUCCACGUAACUUUUGGAAAUUGAGGUUGUAUCUGAACAUAAGCUUUAUGGAUUUGGAGGUUGUCUUGCUUUACUAAGUUCUCCAAUGUAGAUAUAAGGCAAUCCUGUCUUGGCCUCGUCUGCCUCACAUCUUCUCUUGCCUCAACAAUCUUCCCGAUCACCCUUGAUGUUGCUAUGGGUGUGUCCAUUUCUGCAACUUCUCUGUUUUUAUAUAGUAAUUGUUAGCCCAUUUGAUUCACUAUGUAUCUUUCUUCUUAUCCAAUGCCUAGAGAUAUUUCAGCAGUUCUGCUUUAUGCCAUAUCUUCAUGUUUAUUACAUUCAAACCUCCCAUAACUUUAGGCUGACAUAUCUUGUCCCAUGCGAUCAAAGCCUUCCUUGAGCACUCAGUUGAGCUAGUCCGCAGAAAGGUUCUACAUAUGGUUUCUAUCAUCUUCAUGAUCUUCUUUGGCAACAAAAAAAUUGAGCUUGGUAUAUUUGUAUUCCAAAUGGCACAGAUUUGAUGAGUUGAAUUCUCCUAAAAUAUGAAAGCAACAUAGCUGAACAGCGCCUUACUCUUUCAGUGAUAUUUUCUACCAGUGGUAGACACCUAAAGGGUAAAGAACCCUUUGUAUAUCCAGAGUUCCAUCAAUUGCUCUUUUAUGUAUUGUGCCACACUAGUAAUAUAUAUGGAACUCUUUUUUGCAUUUGCCUGCAGCCCAGAUGCAGCUAAGAAUCUAUUAAAAGCUUCCUGUAAUUUAGUAACUGAAUUUAUAUCACCCCUGCAAAAUAUUAACAAAUCGUCAGCAAAACAUAUGUGUGUUGCUCCCAGCUUCUUGCAUUUGGGAUGGAAUUUAAACUCCUUUUGUGAGGCCAGUUGGUUCAUCUCCCUUUGUAAGUAUUCCAAAGAAAUCACAAAGAGAUAAGGAAACAUUGGAUUUUCUUGCCUUAUUCCUCUCUUAGCUGGAAAGGUUUGGUCAGUCCCCCGAUUAGAACCAAAGAAUAGGAUACUAUUGUCACACAUUCCAUUAUCCAUAGAAUGAAUUUCUGAGGGAAGCCAAGAUCAGUAAGCAUGUAUCUAGCCAAUCCAAUGAAUCAUAAGCUUUCUUUAAGUCUACCUUAAGAACACAUCUUGGAGACAAGCCUUUCCUAUUAUCGCCAUUGAAUAGUUCAUGACUAAAUAGGAUAUUAUCAACAAUACUCCUCCCUUCUAUAAAAGCAGACUGUGCUUUCCCAAUUAUAAGCUUAAUUACCCUUUUGAUUCUUUUAGUCAAGAUCUUAAUUGGUACAGCAAGCAAUAGGCUUAUUGUCCUUCACUAUUGUAGGGGCUGGAACUCGAGGGAUCAAAGUUAUGGUUGUACAGUUCCAUGCUUGCUUCAUCUCUCCUGUUUGGAAAAAGAAUAGUACAUCAUCAUAUAUAUCUUGCCUCACUUCCUUCCAAUUCUUUGUGAAGAACUCUAUUGGAAAUCCACCAACUCUAUAGGCUUUAUGAUUUGGUAUGUCCUUCACUGCUUCAUCUAUUUAUACAUAUGUGAUAUCAUGUAUUAGGUCUUGUUGUUGUUGUGUUGAGAGGAAUUCUCCUUCUUUGAUGAACCUAGUAUUAGGACAUGACUUUAGUCCAAUAGCUUUUCACGUAAGUUGUCUGAAAAAGCAUGUGAGUUCUUCUUCUACAGCUUUAGGAUCAGUAAUCUUAACUCCCAAAACAUUAUAUACAGAGGCAAUUGUGCUCUUGCUUGCUCUAAUCUUCAGGUGUGUCUAGAAUAUUUAGAGUUUGAAUCCUCAUAAUCAAUCCAGUUCACUCUAGCCUUCUGCCUUAGUAUUCUCUCAUCUAUGAUGCUCCAGUUCUCUAGAUCUUGUAGUGUUUUUUUCUUGAUCUAUCCAUACUUGUUUGAAAGGAUCAAGUAUCAAAUUGGCAUGUGUACACUCUAGUUUCUGUCUUAGUUGGAUCGAUCUCUGUUCAUAACUAGACAACUCCUUGUUUAAACCUCUAGUCUCACCUUUCAGUUUUUGUACCUUGAGUCAGAUACCAGACAUAGGAUCAUCUCCCAACUUCCGCUUCCAGAUUUUAUCUACUAUAGGCUUAAACUCCUUGUGAUCCAUUGUUAACAUGUACAACUUGAAUGGCUUGGGAUAUAUAGUAUUCCUUCAUCCAUAUCUGGACCAAGAUAGGUGAAUGAUCUGACACUCCAGGUUCUAAGAAAUGAGUUUCCACAUGCCCAUAGCCUUUAGACCAUUCAAAAUUGCCAAACGCCCAAUAAAUCUUACUAUAAACUCUAUCAUCUACACUUUUCUUAUUACACUAUGUAAAGAAGCAUUCCUUAGUCCUCAAUGGGGUCAGUUGCAUGUUAUGUAUACAAUCCUUGAACUCUUGAACCUCAUUCAUAGUGACUGGUUGUCCUAAUCUAUCAUAUGUGAUUAGGAAAUUGUUGAAAUCACCACUGAUGAGCCAAGGAAUCUGAACCUGCCCCCCUAGCUAUUGCAGACCAUAUCAUAGACUUUCCCUUUCUUGCAAUUUGUUUCUAGCAUAUACUACUGUUAACAUAAUCUUGUACCCAUACACUGGAUCCAUCACUAGACAGUGAAUGAACCGCUCAUGGACUUGCAUUAUGUUAACUGUCAAAUUGGUCUUCCCUAGCAGCCAUAUUCUCCCAUUUUUAGCCUUAGAUAGUUAUAGCAAUAACCCCAAUCUUUAGCAAACUUAUACAGAAUAUAUUUUGCCUUUUUUCUUUUAUUCUGGUCUCUAGACAUCCUAAGAUAUCUAUUUUAUUCUUUUGCAAAAAGAUUCUUAGUUCCUUCUACUUAUGGGGCUUAUCCAUCCCUCUUAUGUUCAAAGUACUUAUAAUCAUGGUGGGUUUUGUAUAGGUUCAGAGUUAUUCACCCCUCCAUGUAUACCACAUUCUUUCAAUAUUAUAAAUCUAUUAGAAGAGCUAGCCUCACCAGUUAUCUCUUGCUGAACACCUGCAGUAUUCUAUCUUUCACUACCUUUCUUUCUUUGUAUCAUAAUGCUCUUUUGAUCUAGUUUAUCUGUUGAGUUCUGUCUGCCUUUGACAAGUGGAGGUUGUACUUCAUUCUCCUCUCCAAUCCCCCCUUCCUGCUGUUCUUUUGGCUUCCAUUCCUGAAUAAUUUUCCUCCCUCUUCCUCUAUGUCUUCUGUUUGGGGCCUUGAAAUCAGUGUCUACAUUGUGUUUAGUUGACUUCCAGCAUUCAAAGCUGUCAUGCCCAAUAUAUAAGCAUUCACUACAGAAUUUUGGUCUCCAUUCAUACAUUAUUUCCUGUUGUCUAGUACUAGUAGGAGUUGCAAGUUCAACAUUCUCCACUAGUGGCCUUGUAAUGUUAACUUUCACAAGUACUCAGUGAUGUUUUAAGCAUCAAUAUCACAUAAUAAGGGGGGUGAUUUGUGUGGUGCCCAAUUUUUGCUUUAACUGAACUGUAGAAGAACCUGGUUCUUCUAGGUGUUCCAACUACUACUAUUUGUGGAAUAAUAAUACAGAAAAUAAAGAACAUAGAGAUUUUUACGUUGAAAACACCUAGCUGAAAAAGUGAAAAAACCACGACCUACUACUCAGUAGGAUUUUCCAAAACUUCCACUAAAAUUACUGAGCCAAAACAGUAUUUACAAAAACUCUUUGCAAGCUUAGGGAUUAACUCUAAUCCCGUUGUGGCACACAGCCUCAACUGUUGCGACAACUUCAAGUUAACUCUAACUUGAACACUCUAGCUAUCUAAUACAAUUGUUUUUAUAAAAACUAAAAGAUGCAAUGUAAAAUAUCCUACUGCAAUUGAACUAGAAUAAAAUAUAGACACAUGAAAAUGGUUCUUCUAUCUCGUUCAAGUAGCUUCAAGAUUGCACACUCAAAUCACACAUUAAUUGCUUGCAAAAUUGCCUUGCUCUUUUGCUCUCAGUUUAAGUUUAACUUCUGCUUAUUUGCAUUACCUGUAAAAUAGAACAACACUGACAUUUAAUAGGUUAGUAAUCAGAGUUUGAAUGGGAUACAAUUGCUAACUCUCCUAUCGUAGAUGAGGUCAUGGUGAUCUCAAACUCCAACAUUAUCUUCAUCCUAAACCGUGUUAGCUUCAUGUAAGGAGUCUUUCUCUCAUUUUCCAAUAUGCAACAUUUUUUAUCAAAUCCAGAGAUAUUGCUUCUUGAUCAGUUAUAUUUAUCUCCUUCACUUGCGUCUCAUGUACAAGUUGAUCAUGACUGUGCUUCACAAGAUGGACCUGGUCCAUGUUUGAGUUCUUUCGUCAAAAUCUUCAAAACUUCACCUGUUCUUGAGGCAACAAAUUUUUCCUUUUUGAUGAUGACAAACUCUGCGCUUUUUACUUAUUUGGAUCCUAUAAGAACUCAUCUUAACCGUCAAUACAAAGUUUAGAAAAGUCACUUAUCAUCAAGGACCAGGUUAAUUAGGUUAUAAAUAUCACUUAUUUAGAAUGCGUAAAGCACAAUAUCUCUUUCCCCUUUCGGCAUCAUCGAAAAGUUGCAUACAAAGUAUGAGUCCCUGAUUUUAUUUACUCAUGGCCACUAAGUCAACUGCAAGUGCAAUCAUGGUUUAAUCAUCAGUAAUCAAGCAAACAUAUUUGAACUGUCAAGGAAAGAUUAACAUUGAGCAAGACCUAAAAUAGUAGAUAUCAUUGAUAGAAAUAUGUUGCUGCCACAAUCGACAACCAGAAAGCUAAAAACAUUUAAAGCAUGAUAAAAAAGAUAGAAAAAUGCCUAAUCUAAGUCACUGAAGGUACUAGAUAGGUUAAGGAGACAAAAGCUAGGAUUCCUAAGGCCGUGGGGAGCUAGAGGAUUGGUUUUGGGCUUGGAGAAAAUUCAGCAUAUUAUAAAGAAUUCCAUCAUUAUUCUUCUUUUCUUUGGUAAGCUCAGCUAUGAGGGCAUACCUCUCAAAUUCCACCUCUGCCACACGAGCCUUGAGCCUAGCUAUCUCAGUAUCCUUGGUUUCACAUUCCUGAUCUAGAGCCAUGACUUUGGUGCUGAUAGGAGUCUUCUUGGAUGAACCAGGUUCAUUUGGGAUGGCACUGACUAAGCAGUCAUAAGCAAUGAGAGUGUCAAUGCCAAAAUGAUCUUUGCUUGAGGCCAUUUCCCAUUUCUUCAGAGACACACUGCACCUAUCUAGAAUCGUAGUCAAAACAAAGACAUGGGGGUAGCAUGAGCCUUGGAGCCAUUGAUGACCCUCCAGUAGCUUGACUAUGAAGGCAGACCAAUUAAUUUGCCUUUCACGUUCCGGGCACUCCAUAAGAACUAGGUCAAUAUAAUUGGCAAUGUGCCUUCUCUCAUGUAUGGGCAAUAGGCAUUUAUUGACAAAUUCAAACAAGACCAUGUGCUGAGGCCUCAUUUCACUUUUCUGAACAGCCCUGACUUCAUUCACAUCUUCAACAUCACAAAACCUCCUGGUAAUUUCAAGGGUAGUAUGAAGGGAGUCCAGACAAGGUUACAUUUGCCUUGUAUAGUCAUCAAACCAUUUAGAGGGCAUAUCAAGGAUCUCUUAUAGUUUUCCUGCAUCAAAGGACACUUGAACUCCUUUUACUAGGGUGCUAACCUUGCCAUCCUUAACCUCUGCAUUUUCCAUAACCUUAAUUAUCUCAUUCCUGGCUAGCCUACCAUCCAUCUGAGGACCACGUCCUUCCACCCCUGAGCAGCUAAGCCACCCACCAGUCUCAUCAUUCCUGGCUCAACCAAGUCUUUCAUGAUUCUACCCUUCAAAAUCUUUCUUUUUUCAAACAUGGCAGGCUUGUCUUAUUCACCAUCAGAAUUAUCUUCUACUUCUUCUCCACUCCAUUCCUCAUCUUUAGAAAUUUUCACAUGUUUACUUUUCACUGCAUACCUUGUCCUCUUGGCUAGUGAAGGUUCGGCAGCCUCAGACACAGAGGAAGACAUCUUGGAAGAAUUCUUGGGUUUUUUGGGCUUGGGGGUCUGAACCUCCACUGGUUGAACUUCCUCCUGAUGGACCCAUUCCAUAUCCUCAACCUCCACAGCCUCUGAGGACUCUGCAACCUUCCCUUUUCCUUUAGCCAGCCUUUUCUUCUUACUCUUAGCUAGAGCCUUUUGGAGAUCACUCUCACUCUACUUCACCCUGAUUCUUGUUUCUCUACCCUUUGGCAAUGAAGUUUCAAUAGUUGUUGGGGAUGAAGCCUUUCUUUUCUUGGAGGGUUUAGGAAACUAGGGGCUUUGGGUGUGGGAGUUCUUCAUUUUUUGGGGGUCAUAGCUUUACCCAAUCUUUUUCAACAGGCCCGCUAAGGUCUCUUCAGUAGAUGAACCAGGUUCAACUUCAUGUGUGCUUAGAUUAACCAGCCCCUCACCAGCUUUACUAUAACCAUUUCCCCCUGACUUCUUACCACUCUCUUAUACCUUUUGUUAUUCAACCCCAUAGAUAGCAGGCACAGACAAAUCAGGAGUGGGUGAAUGAUCAACCACUCUUUUUACUUUUCCCCUCUCUUCACAACAUGCACCAUCUCUCUCUUUUUCUUUUUCAGAUUUCUUUUUACCUCCACUCCUAUGUAACUUAGGUAAUUUUACAUACCUGAUACGCCCAACCAGAACAAAACUAGUUUCUAAAUUUUCAGACAAAGAAGAACUUACCUUAGAAGGGGAUUCUUGUGUCUUUUUAGAGUCGGAAGACCCAGGUCAUUCCACCUCACUAGCGGAUUUGUAUGACUCAGAAUCAUAGUUGGAGUCAGAGUCUUAGGCCUGGCUUGCCUUUAAUUUCUCAUUUAAUUUCUUCUUGAGAGCCCCAAAUGCUAUUAUUUUUCAAGCAAGUAUUUUCACCCUUCUUAGCCUGGGUUUGGGAGAUGUACUAGGUGGAUGAGGUGUAAAUGAAUUAGAGGUAAUGGGUGGUGGAGGAGUUCCAGGAUUAUUUUGUGGGUUGGUAACGAUCGUUGUUUUCUUGAGAGAAUUUGUGAGUUAGAAUAUUGGAGAAGAGGGCAAGUGAAAGUGAAGAGAAUUUUUGACGGUUUGAAAUUAUAGAGAUAGAAGAAGGAAUGAUGUGUAUUUAAAUAGAAAUACACAUUCAAUGUGUAACGGUAGAUUUAGCAAUGAUCAAUUAGAGGUAUAAUAAAAAAAGAUAUGUAUUUGAUAGCAGAAAACACGUUAACAAUUACAUAUGGAGAAGAUAUGCAUAGGUAUUGUACCAGUUUAAUAACUCAACUAUAAAAACGAUGUGCAUCUAACAUCAUUACACUAUUAAAGCUUGAAUAUAUAGAAGAUAUACGUGAAAUAUUAAGUAAUCCAUCAAUAGUUGCAUAUAGAGAAAAUAUGUAUGAAUUAAAGAAGUCAAAUUACACGGAUCCACAUAUGAAGAAGCGAUGUGAUGUGAAUCAUCUCAAAAAGUAAAGCAACAUAUAGAGAAAAUAUGCGUAAAAGCCAUGUAUAUAUUCCGGAGAUAGCAUAUAGAGGAGAUAUACAGUAAAAAUCAUGUAUACAUUCGAGAUGUUUACAUAUAAGAAGGAUACACAAAAUCCACAACUGACCAAUUUUUCAUAAUUCGUGUGUACGUCAUCAGGAGAACAUGAGAGGGCGAUCUUAGAAGGAUGGAUCCUUAUCCACAAGCUGCAAGGACAACUCACGUGCAUAAUCAUAAUCACCGCCACGGAAAUAUCACGUUCCAUAGUAACUCAACCUGCACAGAUAACUCACGUGCUACAAAUCCAGUCCAUAACACAGAAAAUAUAUACAAGAAUACAUGUAUACAAUCAAGGAAUAUCAAAAUCACAUACCCAUGGGCUGAUAAAUAACAUGCUAAGGUAUAUUCAUGUACAUAGAGAAGGUGUAUACUUGUACAUAUAAAGAAGAUAUGUAUUGUGCCUAUACUUACCAUUCAAACACCAUAUAAUGAAUAUAUGCAUAAAGAGGCAUGUAUACAUUUCAAAUAUAUCAUAUAGAGAAGAUAUGCAAUAAAAACAUGUUAUAUACCCAAGUUAUUUGCAAAUAGAAAAGAGAUUUAAAAAUCAAACACUGGUCAGUUUUCCUUAUAACGUGUGUACAACAUCAAGAGAGAAACAUGAGAGGACGACCCUAGGGGGUGGAUCCUUGUCCACACACUGCACGAACAACUCAUGCUCCAUAAUAUAACAUCCGCAGGGACCACUCACGUGCUACCAUAACUCAAACUACAUCGGACCAUUCACGUGCUACCAAUCCAGUCCAUAUCUCAUAUAAAGAUAUACAAGAAUACAUGUGUACGAACAAUAAAUAUCAAAUCACAUAAUCAUGGACUGAUAAAAGUGACAUACUGAAGUAUAUGCAUGUGAGAAGUGUGCUAUCACAGAUCAGAUAAGGUGAAUACGCCACAAAAUAGCAAUUAUCACGUUUGACCAGGAGAUAACCUACACAUGAUAUCUAACAUGAUUUAAGUAGCUCACAAAGGGGUACAACCAUAUGAACAAUGAUAUCAUGAAGCCUAGUAUUCAAUACAAGGCAUAACAUAGUCUAAGAACUACCCCGAGCAUUAAUGAAAAUCUAGUGUAUAUAUACACGCUCAUCCACUGCAUGUGCAUCACCCUUGGCACGUACCCACCAUCAACAAUUCAAACAACUAGUGCCUUAAACUAAGGCUAGGCAAGAUACUUACCUCAAACAAGCAACAUUAAUACUCUAAAAAUGCCUUUCCUUGAAAAUUGGGUUCUGAAUGGCUCGAAUCAAGCCAAAAACAACUCAAUCACAUCAAAAUAAAGAUAUAUGAAUCAAUUUCAAUCUUUACACAAUUCCCAAAAGUUAACAAAAACCUGGUCCCAUAUGGUCACAACUCGAGUCAAGGGAUAGAUCCCCAUUACCCAUAACCCCACGAGUCUAAAUAUGUGAUUAGAUUCAAAAAUCAAGUUUGAAUCAACCUCUAAAUCCUCAAUUUUCACUCUCUUAAGUUGUAGGAACCCCCCCCCNNNNNNNNNNNNNNNNNNNNNNNNNNNNNNNNNNNNNNNNNNNNNNNNNNNNNNNNNNNNNNNNNNNNNNNNNNNNNNNNNNNNNNNNNNNNNNNNNNNNNNNNNNNNNNNNNNNNNNNNNNNNNNNNNNNNNNNNNNNNNNNNNNNNNNNNNNNNNNNNNNNNNNNNNNNNNNNNNNNNNNNNNNNNNNNNNNNNNNNNNNNNNNNNNNNNNNNNNNNNNNNNNNNNNNNNNNNNNNNNNNNNNNNNNNNNNNNNNNNNNNNNNNNNNNNNNNNNNNNNNNNNNNNNNNNNNNNNNNNNNNNNNNNNNNNNNNNNNNNNNNCCCCCCCCCUCCUCAUAUUUCCCUCAAAAUUCAAUAUUUUAAGAGUUAAUAAUCCGUGAAAAUUCUUGAAAUAAUAUAAAAAUGACUAGAAAUAACUUACCCCAAGGUCUUGUAUGAAAGGCUCCUUAAAAAAUCGUCCCAAUUAGUCUAGGGUUCAAAUUAUGAGAGAACAUGCUAAAAUCACAAAAUUAGAACUUCAUAUUGUCUGCCCAUCACUACCCUUCAUGAACGAGGUGACUACUUCACGUUUGCGAAGCAAAAAAAUGCAACAACCAAAACAACCCAUCGCGAAUGCAUUAGAACCAUCGUGAACACAAAGCUUAAAUGCCCCUGGCCUGUGUUAACGUGAGCACCUUCGCCCAAUCGCUAAGGCAAAACUUUAACCACCUCCUAGUCUACCUCCCUAUUACACGAGGUACGAAUACGAGGACCCAAAAGCCAUAACUCUAUGCGAACGUGACCUCCAUCCCGCGAACAUGAAGAGCAAAACAAGCCUACCCAAAAUCUUUCUUGGCGAUCACGAGACUUGCUCCUCGAUCACGAAGUACACCAGAUACCAUCAAAAUUUUGCAAUUCCAACAAUGCUCCAGGUGGUCAGAAACUCACUCGAGCCUCUCGGGAACCCGUCCAAUAACACCAACAACUCCAUAAUCACUAUAUGGACUUAACCAAUGCCUUGAAAUACAUACGACAACAUCAUAUAAAUGGAUUAAAGGUCAAAACAAAUUGAAUUUCCCUUGAGUUCAAGAACUUCAACUUUAAAUCAAACACAUGAGUUAAGCCCAACCUAUUCGGAUUACAACUAAACUUAGCACACAAGUAACAAAUGAAAAAAAGAACCUCUUUUAACUUCCGGACAACCAAUGCAAUUUCGAUAUCAAAUUUAAGUCCCCGUCAAACUCGCAAACUUUCCAAACCGUAAAAUUUCUAACUUUUAACAAUUAGAUCCAAAACACGUUAGGAACCUCCAAAUCUAAAUUUUGAUACAUACUAAGUCCAAAAUCACCAUAAGAACCUAUUUGGAGCCAUCAAAUUACCAAUCUGAGUUCAUCUACAUAAAAUUUAAACCUUGGUCAACUCUUACAACUUAAGCAUCUUAAAAUAAAACUGAGGAUUCCAGUUGACUCCAAAACCUUCCUGAAGCUAAACCAACCAUCCACGUAAGUCACAAAAUUCAAACAAGAAUAGGGAAAAUAUUAAAUAGGAGAACAGGGAUCAAAUAUAUAAGACGACCAGCCGGUUCAUUACAUCAACAAUGCUAUUUAUAUAGUACUAGUCAAGCAUCGAAAAAUCAUAAUUCGAUGCAUAUUCUAUAACAUAUACCCUUCUCAAGCAAUAUCGGAUAGUUGCAUCAUUCUCUUAAACAUCUGAAAUCUCUUAUGUUGUCUAGAGCUCAUUACUUUCCUCUCAAACUAAACCACAACCUUGUCCAUUCAAUCCCAAUUCCAUGUGGCUCACCAUAUCUAUCAUGCUAUCAUAUGCAAAUAGGAGAAUCUCAUUAUCAACUUUGAACCACAAAUAUGAUGGACACUCCAUUAACCAGAAUCCUACCACCCAACUCAAUCCAGGAGAACAUUGCAACAUGCAACAAACCUUAUAUACUUUUUGAAGACAUCAAUUUCAUCGUGGUUGAAACCAUCACAACUCUUUGAAACCUACUUACAUAAUCAAAUCAUUAGAAUUGUUCCCCAUAAUUCAACUAUGCUAAAUGGUCGCCCACCAAUUCCCUCCAUUAAAGUUUUGGUGACCACAAGUAGCCUGGUAUGGAUCCUUGCUUUCUUCAUUGUAAACAAUAUCAUCCCCACGAAGCAGAACAUGAAGACAAAGACCCUUGAGUGAAUAUGCCGCAAUGAUGUAAGGCCGAACUCACCAGGAUAAGUACGGUAGGAUUUGCUAUGACCGUACCUCUCGUAAAAAUAAUCAAAGGGAAUAUACGACUCUUUCAAGCAUGUCAAGUCUGGAUUCUUCUUUAGACCCAUCAUUUUGAGAAAACCUCUACCCUUGCAAUUUUCUGGCAUUAACAAACCCGGAGUGUCCCAUGGUAGUGAGCGCUGCUCGGAGUGUAUUUGAGACUCUUAGGGAACUUUGACACAUCCAAAUGGGAGAAAGGCUUUGGAUCAUGAUCUCUUGAAGUUGGUUUACCUCAUACUUCAUACAUGAAGUCUGAAUUAGGCUCUCCUUGGUUGUACUUUUAAUUUCUGAUGUAUUCUUUUACUUUAUUUUGAGAUGUAAUAAUUGUGUAAUAAUCUCUUGGGGAUGGCUAGUAAAAAGUGCGGGUUUUUAUGCAUGAAAAAAAGGUAGAUACCAUGCCUAUAGGGUUUCUGAAUUCUGCAUAGAAAUCAUGCCUAUAGGUAUUUCUGAAUUCUGCAUUCUCACAUAGAUGCGAUGCCUAUAGGCAUUUUUGAAUGUUGAAUUCUCACAUAGACGUCAUGUCCAUAGGUCAUUUCUGAAUUCUGCAUUCUCACAUAGAUGCCAUGGCUAAAGGUCAUUUUUGAAUUCUGCAUUCUCUCAAAUAGAAAUCAUGUCCAUAAGUAUCUGAAAAUCUGAAUACUGCAUAUUCAUAUAGAAGAUAUGACAAUAGGUCCUUUUGAAUCUUGUAUAUCCAUUUUCAUCUAACAAUCAUGUUCAUAGGUCUUAAACAAUCAACUGCAAUUAGAUAUCAUGUUCAUAGGCCUUAAAUGAAAUUCAGCAUCUAGAUAUCAUGUCUAUAGGGCUUCUGCAUUUUUACCAUGUCUAUAAAAAGUUUUAAAAUCAACAACGCAUAAAAAGCAUGUCUAUAGGAACUAUUAUUAAUCGAAUUGCUUCAUUCACGUAUAAGGCUAAAACCAGCAAUAACGACGUAUCGUCACUUGUAGAACUUAUAACCUUCAUAAAAAACUUCGUUUCCUCAAUAAUCUGGUAACCUUUCUUAAUCAAUAUGUAUUCAGUUUAUUUUAUUGCUUUUUGAAUUCAUUAUAUACCAUGCCUAUAGGAUCCUUGUCCAACACUUAGGCAAGCUUUAGGGUAAAAAAUUAUAAACCAAAUCUGUUGUUAUUAACUACAACCAGCAGGCAUGUCUGAUUCGGGCUUUUUAUCUGAAUUAUGUAACAAAUAAGUUACCUUAACCUUUCAGUUCUUAAUCAGACCCUAAACAGUAUGUGUAAGUCAUGCUAACUAUGUGCUUCUUUGAUUGAAGGAGGUAUAUUUGAGCCUUUUUACUUGUUAUGUGCUUUCCUUGAACUUGCUAUACAUUGUUUUGUAUUUCGCCUUAGAAUUUCACCUUUGAAACCGCAAAUAAGCCUAAUAUUCCUCCUAUUUAGGAUUAGUAGACUUAAACACCUCCGGCACUGAUAGGAUUGGUGCCGAUAAUAGCAUGCAAUAAUCAAACGAGACCAUUCUGCACAUUAAUACCCUUAACAGGGUGGGAAAGGGUACAUAUGGAUAUGAUGACUGUCACACCUCCUUUUGCACUAUGCACCCCGCGAAGGGCAUAAAGGAGUUUCCAAUUAAAGGACAGUUAGAACGCGAUUUGGUUAUUAGUUAUUUCAGAGUCGCCACUUGGGAGAUUAAUGGUGUCCCAAGUCACUGAUUUGAAUCCAGAACCGAGGAAGAUUAUGACUCUGUUAACAGCCCGCGAACCAGAAAUCUGGAUAAGGAAUUCCGUUAACCCGGGAGAAGGUGUUAGGCAUUCCCGGGUUCCGUGGUUCUAGCACGGUCGCUCAACUGUUGUAUUUGAUUUUAUCUGAUUUUAAUACAUGCUAACUUUUGUGCCCUAUUAUUUAUAUACUGCUUUUACCAUUUUUUAUUUUAAAAGACAUAAGAUGUCGCGAAAACGUGUCUUUGGCCACGUCGCCAUCAAGGCACCCGUAGUCAUCGACAUAUUUUGACUUCAUCGAGAUUUGGAUUUGGGUCGCAUCAAUGCGCACCCGAGUUUAGGAAGAUAAAUUUAAUUAAAUCGCGCUUAAAGGUUCUAACGUACUAUUUUUUGGGAAAGGUCGUUGAAAUUCGCUAAACGGCCCUUCCGAAUUCUAAUCAUUUUUAAUAGUCAAUUACUGAGGGCCCCACAUUUAUUUUUGAUCGGUGAGGCUCAUCUCCAUUUUAACCAUUUCUUUUAUCCUUUAUUUAUUUUAUAAGAAUUAUGACGUCAUGAAAAUGCAUUUCUAACCUCGUCGCCAUCAAGGCACCCGUGGUUAUCAACACAUUUUGACUUCGUCGAGAUUUGGAUUUGGGUUGCAUCAAUGCACACCCGAGUUUAAGAAGGUACUUUAAUUAAAACGCGUCUAAAGAUUCUAUCGCAAUAUUAUUUGGGGAAGGCAAUGAAAUUCACUAAAAGGCCCUCCCAAUUCUUAUCAAUUCUUAUAAUUGUUUAUCGAGGGCUCCGCAUUUGUUUUUGUUUGACGAGGCUCGUCUCAGCUUAUUUUAAAAGGCAAACUUAAAAGCGACUAUGUUUCCCUAUUUUUGGUUUUGUUUCUAACAAGGUAAUUAAAAUCCUACCUACUAUCUCGGUCAAAAUAACCCAGAACCUUCCAUACUAUCCUUCAAAUCCUACAGCCCAAACGACAUGGGCCUGUGACAGGCCAAUUCUUCGUGUUCCAACGAUCAAAAACAGUGUGGGCAUCGAGCCCAAAUAACGGGAAACAACGAAAUUCUUGUUGAGAAAAACGAAGGUAAUAGCUGUGUUCCAACGAUCGAAAACAGUGUGGGCAUUGAGCCCAAAUAAUGGGAAACAACGAAAUUCUUGUUGAGGAAAACGAAGGUAAUAGCUUCAACAAGUAAUGAAAUCCCUAGUCUGGGAUCGAAUCCCCAUCCCAACUUGAAUAAAGAUCGAGCCUAAUUAAAGAUGGUGAAGACGCACGACUAACAAGACCUGGCAAUGUAUUUUCUCAACAAAUUAAUCAAGGAUCAUGACAUGAUUCAGGAGCAUUAUUUGGACUAAUAUACUAAUUACAUGAUGAAUUUAUUCUUCAGUAGGUGAACUUCAAACCACUCUAUCAAUUCAAUUCAUCCAAAUAGUCCUAGUCAGGUUAGUUAUUACAAAUGAUCUCUGAAAUCAAUAAUUCAUACAAAAAAAUAAUAUCGAACGAGUAAAGUAGCACUGAUGCAAAAUCACGAGUGCUAAGCAUUCAUUUCAGUUGACUACUUCCACACGAUGACACCAAUUGACUGAACUUGGGUUCCUACUAUUUCAUUUCAAAUCGAGACUACAUCAGAAAUGUUCAAGAGUAUACCUGGGAAAGAUGAAACAAUGAAGAGAAGAAAAAUCAGCAGCAGAUAGCAGAAUCAAUUGAACCACAUCAAUAAAUUCUGCCCGGAAAAUGGAUCAAUAGACCAGGUAACAAACAGAAGGAGAAUUUGACCAAAAUAGCACUAAUCCCAAACACGAACUCAGAUGACAUCCAUAACAUCAGCAGGCAUCAAAAGAGGAACCUAAUUAAACUAACGACUGAUUGAAACAAUUAACAUUUGAGAAAAAGAAAAUCAAAAUCACAUCAUAAUUUAAAUAAAGAAAUGACAAUCAACCCUAAACGAAUUAACCUAAACACUUAUGACAAUCAUAAAGACAAUUUGGUGCUAAACUCGACUUGAAACUAGAACUAUGCUCAGAACAGUGAGUCGAACCAGGAACUAAAGAAACGAAAGAGAGAAAUCUUACCAAAAAUUAGUCUUCAAACCAACUGCUUUUGGAAUCAAGCUUUAAUUAAUCUUAUAAGUUUACCUUUGUCAAGGUAAUCUCAUAACAUUAAUCAAAAACCAUCCGAAUAAAACGAAUUAACCUAAACACUUAUGACAAUCAUAAAGAUAAAUUGGUGCUAAACUCGACUUAAAACUUGAACUAUGCUCAAUAGAACAGUGAGUCGAACCAAGAACUAAAGAAAUGAAAGAGAGAAAUCUUACCGAAAAUUAGUCUUCAAACCAACCGCUUUUGGAAUCGAGCUUUAAUUAAUGUUAUAAAUUUACCUUUGUCAAGGUAAUCUCAUAACAUUAAUCAAAAACCAUCCGAAUUCCUUAAGUUUCAAAACAAGUCGUCAUUCUAAAACCUUAGAUCCGAUAUUCGAGCCUAACCAGGAUGAUUCGAGAAGCACGGCUUGGGUAUUUGGGACGAGAAGGUUAAGGCGGGUCUAUGGCGUAAAUUUGGGGUCAUUUGGCAUAGGUGACGAACUGGCCGGAAAACUUCAAACGAAGAUUCGAACAACCUGGUUGUGAUUCGAAGGAAGCCAGUUUGAUAUUUGGAAUUGAGGAAUAGAAGGAGAAUCUGGGGUGUGAUUUUGGGAUGGAUUGGCCAUGGCGGCGACGGCUCCGACGAGGUGUGAAACGGUACGAGGAAGAUGAGAGGAUGUCUCUAGGGUUCUGAUUCUAUUCAGACACUUUUAACUGAUUUGGGGGUGAGCUAUGGGCCGUUAGAUCAAGUUAUAUCGACGGCUGAGAUUGAUUAGUUCAAGACGGCGUCGUUCUGGUAAAAUGGGGGUUGGGUCGGGCAUGUGGACAGGUAUGGGCUGCAACAGGCGGGUCCGAUUGGCUUUGAGUGAAAUUGUUUGGGCUUGGAUGCUGGUGUGUUUUUGGGCUCAGCUCUACUUCAAACAUAACAGGCCAAUUUCUUUUCCUUUGUUAUAAAAACUCUUGUGUUUUUC